rnacentral:rRNA from 1 species
UUCCGGUUGAUCCUGCCGGACCUGACUGCUAUCGGAUUGAUACUAAGCCAUGCGAGUCAUUGUAGCAAUACAAGGCAUACGGCUCAGUAACGCGUAGUCAACCUAACCUAUGGACGGGAAUAACCUCGGGAAACUGAGAAUAAUGCCCGAUAGAACAUUAUGCCUGGAAUGGUUUAUGUUCCAAAUGAUUUAUCGCCGUAGGAUGGGACUGCGGCCUAUCAGUUUGUUGGUGAGGUAAUGGCCCACCAAGACUAUUACAGGUACGGGCUCUGAGAGGAGUAGCCCGGAGAUGGGUACUGAGACACGGACCCAGGCCCUAUGGGGCGCAGCAGGCGAGAAAACUUUGCAAUGCGCGAAAGCACGACAAGGUUAAUCCGAGUGGUUUCUGCUAAAGAAACCUUUUGUCAGUCCUAGAAACACUGAUGAAUAAGGGGUGGGCAAGUUCUGGUGUCAGCCGCCGCGGUAAAACCAGCACCUCAAGUGGUCAGGAUGAUUAUUGGGCCUAAAGCAUCCGUAGCCGGCUCUGUAAGUUUUCGGUUAAAUCUGUACGCUCAACGUACAGGCUUGCCGGG